CCUACGGGAGGCAGCAGUGGGGAAUAUUGGGCAAUGGAGGAAACUCUGACCCAGCGACGCCGCGUGCGGGAUGAAGGCCUUCGGGUUGUAAACCGCUUUCAGUAGGGAAGAAGCGAAAGUGACGGUACCUACAGAAGAAGCACCGGCUAACUAUGUGCCAGCAGCCGCGGUAAUACAUAGGGUGCAAGCGUUGUCCGGAAUUAUUGGGCGUAAAGAGCUCGUAGGUGGUUCGUCACGUCGGAUGUGAAAAUCUGGGGCUCAACCCCAGACCUGCAUUCGAUACGGGCGAUCUAGAGUGUGGUAGGGGAGACUGGAAUUCCUGGUGUAGCGGUGGAAUGCGCAGAUAUCAGGAGGAACACCAAUGGCGAAGGCAGGUCUCUGGGCCAUUACUGACACUGAGGAGCGAAAGCGUGGGGAGCGAACAGGAUUAGAUACCCUGGUAGUCCACGCCGUAAACGGUGGGCACUAGUUGUGGGAACCUUCCACGGUUUCUGCGACGCAGCUAACGCAUUAAGUGCCCGCCUGGGGAGUACGAUCGCAAGAUUAAAACUCAAAGGAAAUUGACGG
rnacentral:rRNA from 1 species